rnacentral:tRNA from 1 species
UAAGGCUUUAAGUUAAAGAGUUAGACUGUUAAUUUUCAAAGUUAAAAGUGGGUUAAGUUCAAGCUUUAA